GACAGAGGUGCCGAGCGUUAGGCGGAAUCACUGGCUUAAGCGUGUGUAGGCGGUCGUUAAGUGUCUUGUGAAUCCCGGCUCAACCGGGAACUGCGUCUCGAUACUGGAUGGCUUGAGUUGGAGAGAUGCCGGAAGUUCCAGGUGUAGCGGUGAAUGCGUAGAUAUCUGGAGGAACACCGGUGGCGAAGGCGGCAUCCUGACCAACACUGACGCUGAUGAGCGAAGCCAGGAGCAACGG
rnacentral:rRNA from 1 species